AAACCACUCACAACCGUUCUUACUCCUCCUCACACUGGGAAAAACGCUGUAAAUCCUAUCUCACUCCUCUUGAGACCUCAAUCAUCUCUUGCUCUGCCUUCAGAUUCAAAUUCUCGAUUUCACUCUCCACUGCGAUCUAAAUUAUCGCUGCUCGUUGUUGCUGCCAAUGCUUGCCGCAUUAGCUAUCGUCAUUGUCAUCAUCGAUGUGUAGGUGGCCCUCAAUUGCUCCUGGCUUUGUAGUCAUCGUAGAACCGCCUCCGAUCUCGGUCACCGCCCUCAGGCAUCGUCUUUGUCACCGCAAUCGCAAACGUCGCUGCUGAUGAUCCGGCGAGAAAAGCGGGUUUGCUGGACUCGUCAACAGAUGUUCUGAUUUCUCUAUUAUUUUUGCAAUCUGCUACUUUCCUCGGAAUUGUUUCUGAGAUUUCACAAAGUCUAUUGGAGGUGAAGCUUAAGCAAUGCAGGUUCAUGUUGUUUACUACUUGUCCCGUAAUGGUCCUCUAGAGCAUCCCCAUUACAUUGAAAUCACCCUUUUCCCCAAUGACCCUCUCCGUCUGAAAGAUGUGUUCAAGCGGCUCAUAGUGCUGAGAGGCAGUGCUAUGCCCUUACAAUAUUCAUGGUCUUGUAAAAGAUUUUCUUGAGCAAAAUAUAUAUACCCAAAAAGAAAAAGUUAUCAAUUUUGCGUGGGUGCAUGUAUUUGAGUGCCUAGCCGAGCAGCUGGUCUGUAGCAGGGGCAUUCUACCAUAUUGGCAGGGUCAAUAGCUUGGUUCUCCUUUCUGAAGACGCUAUGGUUUACUUGGAUUAAAUGGAUGUGGAAAAUCUACUUUGCUUACGGCAAUAGGUUUCCAUGAACUUCUGAUUCUUGAGCACAUGGAUAUCUAUCACCUUAGCAGGGAAAUUGAAGCCACAGAUAUGUCUGUGUUGGAGGCAGUCAUAAACUGCGACGAGGAAAGAUUGAAGUUGGAAAAAGAAGCGGAAGCUUUGGCUGCUCAUGUUUGUUUUAAGUAGUAAAGCAGCUGACUAGUACCCCAUUUGUUAUGUUAUUUGGAUGCGUUGCUAACUUUCUCCAAGUGACUUUAAUUUCAGGACGAUGGUGGUGGUAAAACUCUUUAACGAAUU